AUUGUUGGAAUGUCACAUAUUAAAAUCAACGUUAAAAAUAGAAAAUAAUAAAGAUAAUAGUACUAAUAUAUUCGCUACUAAAAUGGCACGAUCAUCGUCUCAACAUCUUUUCAUUUAUUUUUAGUAAUCCAAACAAAUUCUUGAAGGAAAAUGUGUUGGUACUUCAAGAUAAUUGCAAGCAAGUGAUUUGGAAAAUUCUUUUCGAUUUUGGAAAUCCCUAUAAUUAAUUAUUUUGACCCUUUUCUUAAAGCUUACCACUCCUCAAAACCCUACCCAAACCACACUAUAUAAUCCACACCUCCAGGCUCCAGUGCCGACCUCAACCCUAACAUCGCCAAACCACCUCCACUCUACUUGCUAAACCCUAGUUUUCUCACGAUCAUAUCUUCUGCAGUUGUUCUUGGUGAGUUCAAUUCAAUUAUGUUCAAUUCAUUUAGAUUUGCGUUUAUUGAUUGCUGAGGACUGUAUUUUUUUCUCUUCAAUUAUUUGAUUUUUCUGUGAUUGUUGAAGGUUGAA
rnacentral:lncRNA from 1 species